rnacentral:rRNA from 1 species
UAGGGAAUCUUCGGCAAUGGGGGGAACCCUGACCGAGCAACGCCGCGUGAGUGAAGAAGGUUUUCGGAUCGUAAAGCUCUGUUGUUAAGGAAGAAUGAGUGUGAGAAUGGAAAGUUCAUGCUGUGACGGUACUUAACCAGAAAGGGACGGCUAACUACGUGCCAGCAGCCGCGGUAAUACGUAGGUCCCGAGCGUUGUCCGGAUUUAUUGGGCGUAAAGCGCGCGCAGGCGGUUAGAAAAGUCUGAAGUGAAAGGAAGUGGCUCAACCCUUGUAGGCUUUGGGAACUGUUUAACUUGAGUGCAGAAGGGGAGAGUGGAAGUCCAUGUGUAGCGGUGAAAUGCGUAGAUAUAUGGAGGAACACCGGUGGCGAAAGCGGCUCUCUGGUCUGUAACUGACGCUGAGGCUCGAAAGCGUGGGGAGCGAACAGG